GGACGGAGAUCAUUUUGCUUUUCUAUUGAGAAAGAUGUGAACCAACAGGGUUCUGGUGCCAAGGAAGCAGGCUCGGUUAAAAAAGCAAAGUUUCAAGGUCAACGCAGUGUGGACAGCAUUAUGUUGGAUCUUGCUAAAUUUAUUGGUAGGGAGAAGAUACCCUUGAAGGUGCUGAAAGAUGUUGGCGACUUAAUAAAUUUUACCCUUAGUCAAGCUCAAAAUCGUCAACCACUGUCUGGAUCAACAACUUUCCAUCGGAUUGAAAUAUCAACAUCUCUAGACCCUCUAAAUGGACUUUAUAUUGGGGCUCAUGGACUGUACACCUCAGAAGUCAGUCAUACAUCUACAACGUAAAUUUGGUCAAUGGCAAGAUGAGCGUGGGACCAAGGAGCCUUCUAAUCUAGAGUUUUAUGAAUAUGUUGAAGCUAUAAAAUUAACUGGAGAUCCAUACGUACCUGCUGGACAGGUGGCAUUUCGUGCUAAGGUUGGAAAAAGGUAUCAGCUUCCUCAUAAAGGCAUCAUUCCUGAAGAAUUUGGAGUGAUUGCUCGGUAUAGAGGACAAGGGAGGCUUGCUGAGCCUGGUUUUCAGAAUCCUCGAUGGGUUGAUGGUGAACUUGUUAUUCUUGAUGGAAAGUACAUCAAAGGGGGCCCUGUUGUUGGGUUUGUAUAUUGGGCUCCUGAAUAUCACUUCUUGGUGUUUUUCAACCGUCUGAGGCUUCAAUAAUAGAUGCCCGUGUAUAUAAUGUUCAAGCUUGUCUAUUCUUUCAUUGUAUUUUAUGAGUCUGCCAAUUUGUUCUUCAACUUGAGCAGCAUAUUAGGUAUUGAAAUCCGGCCACAUGUCCAAUGCUCACUCAACUAACUGUUGCAUAUGUAAACAUAUUGACUUGGUGAAAUUAACCCAGAAGCUUUGAGAUGCAGUAGGUAUUCAGCUUUGAGAUGCAUGACUUCUGAGCUGCCAUUUACAGCAGCUUAUGCGCUUAAAUUUUUUGUUGGAUAAUCUAAUCUUUAUCAAUUUCUAGCGAUUAGCACUUUCCAAGUUAUCAUACAACAGGAGAGUAGGUUCUACGCUAGAAUUGUCUUUCACAAUUUUAUUGGUCCUAAAUAGAUAUGGCUGGAAAUGUGCAAUCUUUAUGUAGAGACUAGUGCAGUCAGGACAUGUGGAAAGGCUUAUUUCAGAGAGCAGUAGUCGAAUGAGCUCAUUUACAUUUAAAUGCAUUGUAGUUUUCCCCCCUUCUCAUCAUGAUACAUGAAUGAAAA
rnacentral:misc_RNA from 1 species